rnacentral:piRNA from 1 species
UGAGGCUCCAUGACUCCCCGUGU